UACGUAGGGUGCAAGCGUUAUCCGGAAUUAUUGGGCGUAAAGAGCUCUUAGGCGGUUUGUCGCGUCUGCUGUGAAAACUGGAGGCUCAACCUCCAGCCUGCAGUGGGUACGGGCAGACUAGAGUGCGGUAGGGGAGAUUGGAAUUCCUGGUGUAGCGGUGGAAUGCGCAGAUAUCAGGAGGAACACCGAUGGCGAAGGCAGAUCUCUGGGCCGUAACUGACGCUGAGGAGCGAAAGCGUGGGGAGCAAACAGG
rnacentral:rRNA from 1 species